GUGCUCACUUUGGCAGCACAUAUACUUAAAUGGGACCAAUACAGAGAAGAUUAGCAUGGCCCUUGUGCAAGGAUGACACAUAAAUUUGUGAGGUGUUCCAUAUUUUU
ensembl:snRNA U6 U6 spliceosomal RNA